UUUAACCUCUGCGUCUCUCUACUAAUGGUUUCUUUCUGCACAAGAAAGUAGAAAAAUAUAUGAAAUAGUAGAAUUUCUGAUUACAUCUUUUGUAUCUUAGGGUCUGAAAUUGCUGGAAUUGAACGAUAAUGGUGCAGACUCUCAAACUCCCCGUAGCACUAGCACGACGAUUUCCGUUGAAUAAUGAUAUGACACUUCGCUUCAGGAGUAUCCUCUCAAACUCGUGUUGGAAAAACAUUUCGCUUCAUGCGGAAAGAUCACAAAUAUUUAUGUUCCCAAAGACUUUGAAAGGAAAAUCCUCAAGAGUGUUGCCUUCAUGAGGAUCGAGGGAGAAGAUGUCGAAGAAAAGGCAUUGCAACUUAGUGGAACUGACGUUGGAGGAUGGACUGCUAUCGUUAAGCCUAAACCCAAAGAAGAAAGUAUUCAUUGAUGAUCCUUGGUGUCCUGAUGCUCCCGCGCGGCAACAGAAACACACACGUAAAUUUUGAUAAUAUUAUCAUUCUGCAAUCAAAUUAUUAUUAUUUAUUAGCAUGUUCAUUCUUGUAUAUCUAUAAGAUGUGUUCUAGCUUGUCAUG